GUAUAGCAGCCGCUCACACCUUGUUGGAUUGAAACCUGUGGAUUUAUUCCAUGUGAGCGCCAGAGACUGAGAACGAGGAUGUGAGUACCUGGCUAGCCUUUCACCUCGUGUAUUCGAGAAGGAUGAGGAGCGAAGCAAUGGGGCAGAGAGUCAGCGAGCCAGCGAGUCAGCAGUGGACGCUCUUGAUAUACAGCAGAAGAAACAAGCCUGGGAGGAAAUAUGCUGAAAUGGAGAGUUGAGGAGGUGGGCCAGACAUCAGCUCACGACGUUGUUGGAACACGCGGUGUUGCCGCUUCUUCCAUGUGAAGAGCGUAUGGCUUGAGAUACCGGGUAUUUAGCAGUUCUUUUAUUUCCGCUUGUAAAUAAACAAAAUACUUCUUAUUCUAUUAGCUAAACUAAGACAAUAAAUGUGAACAGUCAACAGCACAAGACUCGUAUCCAGUUUGUGCGCGAACACGCGGUGUUGCCGCUUCUUCCAUGUGAAGAGCGUAUGGCUUGAGAUACCGGAUAUUUAGCAGUUCUUUUACUUCCACUUGUAAAUAAAUAAAAUGUACUUAUUAUUCUAUUAGCUAAACUAAGACAACAAAUGUGAACAGUCAACAGCACAAAACUCCUCUCCAGUUUGCGCGCGCAUUUCUCUGCUGUGGCGUGUUUUGUGGCUCCUCGCUGAACACUUCUAUCUCUUGACGCUGUGAGUUAGGCUACUUUGACGGUGACUUGAACACUACCACACUGGGCUGCUGUGUGUGUGAGGAAGGUGUGGUGGAGCUGUGAAGUGUGGCAGAGGUGGUGGAGGGAAGCAAGCUGUGCGUUACCCUACAACCAUCACCACCACCGCCGCCAUGUCAUCGUCUUCUUCCUUCUCUUUAUUCUUUUCCUCCUUUCCCUCCGCUGACGUGUGUGUGGUGUUCCUUGACCGCCGUCAUGAGAAAGAGAAUAUGCAAGAUCUGCUCCCAGGCCAGUGAGACUUCCAUAAAUAUGCUAAAGCUGCCAGCCGUGAUGCCGAGCAGAUCUCCAACAAGCAGUUCUUCAUGUUCACUCUGUUUUUUCAUCCAGUAAUGAUCAUCAUCCUACAUUCACCCUGUUGGAGAGGCAAGAGGAAGGAACGGAACAGAGGUGUGACACUCCCCGCCAGCCACGCUCCUUACGCUCCUUCCUGAGUACAGAUGUCAUUGUUAAGUCGCCAGAGCCCCGCAAUCCCCCGCUCGCUGCUGAAGGACGGCCUCUCGCAGCCCCGAGCCCCGUCACCCGCUGGAAGAUCAAAAGUCAGACACGAGUGAGCGGCGCUGAGCCUCCGCCACUCACAGCCAAAUUUAAAGAAGGAUAAAGCACCACCAGUGGAGAGCUGCCGUCGCUCAACAACCGCUCCACCUCCACCUCCGCUUCCACCACCACCACCAACCCUCCGCCAUCACCACCCAGCUCAUCAAUCCCUCCUACUUCACCACCACG